UGGAUCCAGACUUUGAUCAUGGCUCAGGAUGAACGCUGGCGGCGUGCCUAACACAUGCAAGUCGAACGAAGCUUGACGGAUGAUUUCUUCGGAAUGAAACCUGAUAUGACUUAGUGGCGGACGGGUGAGUAACACGUGAGCAACCUGCCUUUCAGAGGGGGAUAACGGCUGGAAACGGUCGCUAAUACCGCAUGACGUGUUCGGAUGGCAUCAUCUGAACAUCAAAGAUUUAUCGCUGAAAGAUGGGCUCGCGUCUGAUUAGAUAGUUGGUGGGGUAGCGGCCUACCAAGUCUACGAUCAGUAGCCGGACUGAGAGGUUGAACGGCCACAUUGGGACUGAGAUACGGCCCAGACUCCUACGGGAGGCAGCAGUGGGGAAUAUUGCACAAUGGGGGAAACCCUGAUGCAGCAACGCCGCGUGAAGGAUGACGGUUUUCGGAUUGUAAACUUCUUUUCUUAGUGACGAAGACAGUGACGGUAGCUAAGGAAUAAGCAUCGGCUAACUACGUGCCAGCAGCCGCGGUAAUACGUAGGAUGCAAGCGUUAUCCGGAUUUACUGGGUGUAAAGGGAGCGCAGGCGGGACUGCAAGUUGGAUGUGAAAUACCGUGGCUUAACCACGGAACUGCAUCCAAAACUGUAGUUCUUGAGUGAAGUAGAGGCAAGCGGAAUUCCGAGUGUAGCGGUGAAAUGCGUAGAUAUUCGGAGGAACACCAGUGGCGAAGGCGGCUUGCUGGGCUUUAACUGACGCUGAGGCUCGAAAGUGUGGGGAGCAAACAGGAUUAGAUACCCUGGUAGUCCACACUGUAAACGAUGAUAGCUAGGUGUGGGGGGUCUGACCCCUUCCGUGCCGGAGUUAACGCAAUAAGCUAUCCACCUGGGGAGUACGACCGCAAGGUUGCAACUCAAAUGAAUUGACGGA
rnacentral:rRNA from 1 species